rnacentral:rRNA from 1 species
UGGGGAAUUUUGGACAGUGGGCGCAAGCCUGAUCCAGCAAUGCCGCGUGCAGGAUGAAGGCCUUCGGGUUGUAAACUGCUUUCGUACGGAACGAAACGGCUCCUUUUAAUACAAGGGGCUAAUGACGGUACCGUAAGAAUAAGCACCGGCUAACUACGUGCCAGCAGCCGCGGUAAUACGUAGGGUGCGAGCGUUAAUCGGAAUUACUGGGCGUAAAGCGUGCGUAGGCGGUACAGUCAGUCAGAUGUGAAAUCCCUGGGCUUAACCUAGGAACUGCAUUUGAUACUGCUGAACUAGAGUAUGGUAGAGGGAGGUGGAAUUCCGGGUGUAGCGGUGAAAUGCGUAGAUAUGCGGAGGAACACCGAUGGCGAAGGCAAUCCCCUGGACCUGUACUGACGCUCAUGCACGAAAGCGUGGGGAGCAAACAGG